AACGAACGCUGGCGGCAUGCCUAACACAUGCAAGUCGAACGAAACCUCCGGGCCUAGUGGCGCACGGGGGCGUAACGCGGGGGAAGCUGCCCUUAGGUUCGGAAUAACUCCCUGAAAGGGGUGCUAAUAACGGAUAAUGUCUUCGGACCAAAGAGUUAUCGCCUUUGGAUGGGCCGGCGUUGGAUUAGCUGGUUGGUAGGGUAAAAGCCUACCAAGGGGACGAUCGAUAGCUGGUCUGGGAGAAUGGUCAGCCACGCUGGGAGUGAGACACGGCACAGACUCGUGCGGGAGGCAGCAGUGGGGAAUAUUGGAGAAUGGACGAAAGCCUGAUCCAGCAAUGCCGCGUGAGUGAUGAAGGCCGUAGGGAUGUAAAGCUCUUUUACCCGGGAUGAUAAUGACAGUACCGGGAGAAUAAGCUCCGGCUAACUCCGUG
rnacentral:rRNA from 1 species